AUGCUGCUGUGUUUGCUGGGCUGGCGCACACGCAUGCUUGCUGUGUUUCCCGGGCUGGCGCACACACAUGCUUGCUGUGUUUCCCGGGCUGGCGCACAUACAUAUGCUGCCGUGUUUCCCGGGCUGGCGCACAUACAUAUGCUGCCGUGUUUCCCGGGCUGGCGCACAUACAUAUGCUGCCGUGUUUCCCGGGCUGGUGCACAUACAUAUGCUGCCGUGUUUCCCGGGCUGGUGCACAUACAUAUGCUGCCGUGUUUCCCGGGCUGGCGCACACACAUGCUUGCUGUGUUUCCCGGGCUGGCGCACACACAUGCUUGCUGUGUUUCCCGGGCUGGCGCACAUACAUAUGCUGCCAUGUUUCCUGGGCUGGCGCACACGCAUGCUUGCUGUGUUUCCCGGGCUGGCGCACACACAUGCUUGCCGUGUUUCCCGGGCUGGUGCACAUACAUAUGCUGCCGUGUUUCCCGGGCUGGCGCACAUACAUAUGCUGCCGUGUUUCCCGGGCUGGCGCACACGCAUGCUUGCUGUGUUUCCCGGGCUGGCGCACACACAUAUGCUGCCGUGUUUCCCGGGCUGGCGCACACACAUGCUUGCCGUGUUUCCCGGGCUGGCGCACAUACAUGCUUGCUGUGUUUCCCGGGCUGGCGCACACACAUGCUUGCUGUGUUUCCCGGGCUGGCGCACAUACAUAUGCUGCCGUGUUUCCCGGGCUGGCGCACAUACAUAUGCUGCCGUGUUUCCCGGGCUGGCGCACAUACAUAUGCUGCCGUGUUUCCCGGGCUGGCGCACAUACAUAUGCUGCCGUGUUUCCCGGGCUGGCGCACAUACAUAUGCUGCCGUGUUUCCCGGGCUGGCGCACACGCAUGCUUGCUGUGUUUCCCGGGCUGGCCCAUACUCAUGCUUGCCGUGUUUCCUGGACCAUCUCAGUGCCCUGGUGCCAGCAAGAGUGGUCCUGAAUCAGAAGACAUAGGUCCGAGUUGGCUGAAUGACAGAGGACUCGCCAUUCCAAACACCUCACACUGUUCCCGGGUGCUUCGGUUAUAG
rnacentral:lncRNA from 1 species